GGGGAUCCCGCCGCCGGAACGGUCACCUACAUGGAUCAGGCGCCGUCGCCGGCCGUGUGCUCCCAGCCGCAUUACAACGUCUACCCACAGAACCCCGACUCUGUGCUGGAUCCCGAGGGCGAGUUCGACCUGGACGACACGAUGGACGUCGCGCGACACGUGGAGGAGCUUCUGCGGCGGCCCAUGGACACUCAGUGGAUCCCCCACAGCCAGUCGUGACCCUGUGCCAUGGUACGGCCCGGCCCGGCAGCCGUGUCCCUGGGAGCCGAUCCGGGGAGCGUGCCCCGUGGAGAGCAGCCCUGUGUUCGUGUCUCUGUGCAUGGGCCCAUGUGUGGGGGGUGCUCAUCCGGGGGCUUUGCUCUGCGCCAGCUGCAGUGUCCAUGGCUGCGCUUGGCUCUUUGGUGUUUAUCCCCGUGUACUAAAGGCAGUGGGCUUGUCGUAUGGUUUCCCUGUCUGUUACUUUGAGGCCUGCCUUCAGCUUCCCGCUUCUGCAGCGCUGCUCCUCCCCGUGCAGCAGAUCCCUGGAGCCCCGUGCGUUCCCAGCGCCCACUGGACUCGGAUCCCUACCCUUGGGCCCAGGGGCCUCUCAGCGUGGGGGGCGGGCCUGGGAGUUUGUUUGCAGUAAUUGUCACAUCUAGGACUUUCGUGUUCAAAUUCUUUCUUUUUGUUACCAGCUCCCCCGUCCCGGGGGGCAUGUGCGUGUGCGUUGGGUCCUGUUUGUGUGUGCAGAGACCUGGGGGCAAAGACUCUUUCUUCUCAGCCCGGGCAGCAGCAUCUGCGCCUUGGGAGUGGCUUGCUGGGAAGGCGUCCCACUGGGGCCCUUUUCUCCUCCCGGUUCCUGCCUGCCCCGUGUCCGCUCAGCUGGUGGGACGCUGCCCUUCCCCCCGGCCUAGAGCUGGGGGGUGUUUAACAAACCCUGAGAGGAAGGAGGGGGUUGCAGAUGGACACGACUGCUGUGUGUGCAGGAGGAACGGGGCUCCCGGCUGGGGUCAGGGCAAGGCGCGGCUCAGGCUGGGGGUGAGAGGCUGCUGGUCCCCCCCCUCGGGGUCCCGCCCUCCCUCCGCAUCGACAUUAUUUUUCUACGGCUGAGUAAAUAAAGCACAGAAUAUUUUUUUAACACAAAGCUCUGGAUUCCGCGUGUCUCUGUGGGAGCACCAGCCCUGGGCUCAGCAGCCCGCUGGCGUCCUGGGGAAGGGUCAGACAGAGCCCCUGGUGCUGGGGCUGUCGGUGGGCAGGGCAGCAGGUGUUUGAGCCCAGGGCUGAGCCGCACCCUGUGCGGACGUCCUGCGGAGGAGCUGCUCUGGGGAAAACGCUGCAUUUGCCAGCUGGGUUCAGUGGUCAGACUCCGUGGGGGCAGCCAGGCGGGAGGACGGGGCUGCCCCCGCUUUCUAAAGGACUUGCAGCAGCCCCCAGACGAUCGACUGGCUGGGCUGGCCCCGAACCUGGCUACGGGCUUGUAGGGGCUGCAGCCAGGCCCUCGCCCCUCUGCCGCUUCCCUGUGUUCGGAGUGCCCUUCGCUGCAUGAGGGGAGCCGUGCCGCUGGGUCAACCCUGAUCCACGUCUGUGCCCAGAGCCCCAUGACCCAGAGGCACCGUGCUCGUCACGCUGCUCCUUCCAGCUUUGCAAAGGACGCUCCACAGUGCGUUCUGGGCCGUGGCAGCGUGAGCCACUGGCGAAGCAGCGCUAGGGCCGGGUGGGUCCCAGCACGGACACCAUUUGCACCAGUGCUGUCUGUCGUGGUUUGAACCUGGGACAAGCUGCCCCGGUGCAAAGCGUGGCUGCCCCCAGGCAUUGCAUUAGUCGCUGAAAUCCCAGAGCCCUGGACGCAGGCAGGGCAUGGGAGGAGGAGGCUGGGGAGCGUUGUCCGAAUGGUCUGUCCCUAACCUGUUUCAGUGCUGCAGUCAGCGGGGGCAGCUGGCGUGUGAGUGUGUGCUUGGCUCAGCUGCAAGUCCUGCACGUGGCCUUUCAUGUGAGUAACUCCACAACCACCUGCUUUGCCAGGCUGCACGUCCGCAGGGCGAGGCUGGGGGCGAGCCCCUGGCCCUGCAGAUAGUGCUGAGAUCGUCCUCAGAACAAAAAAAUUCCAUUCUUUUUUUAAAAAGAAAAGUUCUCUUUCCAAAGCCCCGACCAGGCGGGGAUGAGUUCUCGUCUUUCGGAAUUACAAGCGAAUUUCAAAGAGAAGCAGGAAAAGCUUUGGGGCGAGGUUAGAUCACAACUUUUGCAGAAAGGAAAAAAAUAGAUAUAAUUUUAAAAACAGCCAUGGUGAAACUUUUUGAUAAUUUUAUUUAAAAAAACAAACAAAAAAACACCAGAAAACCUUGUAUGUGGAAACUGAAUUAUUUCAACUGCCUAUUUUGAGUGUUGCAGUCUGCUCCUGACUUGCAUAGGCACUAAUAAAGUAUUGUCGACUCUU